CUACGUGCCAGCAGCCGCGGUAAUACGGAAGGUCCAGGCGUUAUCCGGAUUUAUUGGGUUUAAAGGGAGCGUAGGCCGUGGAUUAAGCGUGUUGUGAAAUGUAGACGCUCAACGUCUGAAUUGCAGCGCGAACUGGUUCACUUGAGUAUGCACAACGUAGGCGGAAUUCGUCGUGUAGCGGUGAAAUGCUUAGAUAUGACGAAGAACUCCGAUUGCGAAGGCAGCUUACGGGAGCACAACUGACGCUGAAGCUCGAAGGUGCGGGUAUCAAACAGGAUUAGAUACCCUGGUAGUCCGCACAGUAAACGAUGGAUGCCCGUUGUUAGUUCACUUUAGAAUUAGCGACCAAGCGAAAGCAUUAAGCAUCCCACCUGGGGAGUACGCCGGCAACGGUGAAACUCAAAGGAAUUGACGGGGGUCCGCACAAGCGGAGGAACAUGUGGUUUAAUUCGAUGAUACGCGAGGAACCUUACCCGGGCUUGAA
rnacentral:rRNA from 1 species